rnacentral:rRNA from 1 species
AUUGAACGCUGGCGGAAUGCUUUACACAUGCAAGUCGAACGGCAGCACGGGGGCAACCCUGGUGGCGAGUGGCGAACGGGUGAGUAAUACAUCGGAACGUGCCCGGUCGUGGGGGAUAACGUAGCGAAAGUUACGCUAAUACCGCAUACGAUCUGAGGAUGAGAGCGGGGGACCUUCGGGCCUCGCGCGAUCGGAGCGGCCGAUGUCAGAUUAGGUAGUUGGUGGGGUAAAGGCCUACCAAGCCGACGAUCUGUAGCUGGUCUGAGAGGACGACCAGCCACACUGGGACUGAGACACGGCCCAGACUCCUACGGGAGGCAGCAGUGGGGAAUUUUGGACAAUGGGCGCAAGCCUGAUCCAGCCAUUCCGCGUGCAGGACGAAGGCCUUCGGGUUGUAAACUGCUUUUGUAUGGAACGAAAAGGCUCUGGCUAAUACCUGGGGCUCAUGACGGUACCGUAAGAAUAAGCACCGGCUAACUACGUG